GUGUGUGUGUGUGUGUGUGUGUGUGUGUGUGUGUGUUUCAGAGCUGCGUAGACUCUGAUCCUCCUACAGGUUUACUGCUGAGCUCCCAGACCUUCACUGCUGAGACCUCCAACACCACCACCACCACACACAUCACCAAGACAGUGAAAGGAGGAAUGUCAGAAACCAGAAUCGAAAAGAGAAUCGUGAUUUCUGGAGACACAGAAAUCGACCAUGACGAGGCUCUGGCUGCGGUGCUCAGCGAGGCUCGGCUGCAGCAUCCUGAGCUGUCAGUCACACGAGUCGUUGUCCAUAAAGAAACAGAGGUCUCUCCUGAUCAUGUGAUCGAUUAGUGACAUCACAGGACUGAAUCGAGAGGCCUCUGCUGCAUCAUGGGAGCUGUAGUCCAGACUCCAGAGACAACUGUAGACACUGUUUUCAGCGACACCCAGUGGACAUCAAUGGAACUGAGGAUUUACACACACACACACACACAUGCAUGUACACCUGUGCACACACACACAGCAGCACCUGUCUGUCUGACUGGGGGCGGGGCCAAAGGCUGAGUUUGUUUCAGAGCCGUUAGCAUUAGUUCAAUAGUUUGAUUAGAUCUCGUUGAAAGCUUCAUGAUGGCAUUUACAGGCAAAUUUAAGACAAAGACGGCAUAAAAUAUUUACACAACACAGACAGGUGAGAGACAGACAGGUGGCGCUGCUGUGACGCCAUCAACAUGUUCCCAUGGCAACCAGAGCCAGUCAACUUCAGAUGAACUUUCACCAAAAAUUGUCCUGCUGCUGUAUUUACUUCCUAGUAAAACAAGCCCCGCCUUCCCACACACACCUGACACACCUAAAGGUCAAAGCAGACAUCUGAUUGGUUGGUUGACUCAGGUAUAUUUACUCCUGAUUGUGAGACAGAGAGACAGCCGCCUUAUGUAAUAUUCAAUAAUUAGUUUGUGCCACAUCUGAAGGUUCUGUAAUAAUAACCUGACUUCACCUGUGUCACUUGGUGAGGUGAUGGAUCCGACAGCCUCCUGUCUGAAAUGUAAAAUAGCAUGAUUGCUAGCACUGUAACCACUCACUGUAUAGCACCAACAAUCUGCUCUCUAUUUACCCAUAAUGCAAUAGUAAUGUGCCAUUUUUUCAUCUCGCCAUGGAAACUCAAAUUAUUUUAUUCACCUGUCUAUGUAUUUAUAUAUUGAUCUGUGUUCGUAUGUAAUCCCAGACUGACCGCUCCACCAGGUGUUACCUUACAGACUGACCGCUCCCCCAGGUGUCACCUUACAGACUGACCGCUCCCCCAGGUGUUACCUGACAGACUGACCGCUCCCCCAGGUGUCACCUGACAGACUGACCGCUCCCCCAGGUGUCACCUGACAGACUGACCGCUCCCCCAGGUGUCACCUUACAGACUGCUGGCUCCCCCAGGUGUUACCUGACAGACUGACCGCUCCCCCAGGUGUGUUAUUUUCUUCAUGAUGAAUUAAAACUUACUGAAUAUCUUUACCCACUAAAAUAAAAUAAAAUGA